rnacentral:rRNA from 1 species
GAGUAGUAAAGGUUAUGAUCCUAAAACUUAAAAGAUUUGGCGGUAUUUUAUCUUAUUAGAGGAACCUGUUUUUUUAUUGAUACUCCACAAUUUUAUUUACUUUUUUUAUUAAACUUGUAUACCGCCGUCAUGAAUAUAUUUAAAAAUUUAUUUUUUUGGUUUUAUAAAAUUUAUGUUAGGUCAAGGUGCAGUAUAGAAAGAUAAAAAUGGGUUACAUUAAAUAUUAUGAAUGUAAAAUUUGAAAAAGGAUUUAAAAGUAAAUUUAUAUUAAAAUAGAAUGAAUAAAGAUUCUAAAAUAUG